UCCAAUUCAUCCAUAGCUGCUCCAAAUGGAUUAGGCAGGGCAUAUCAUGCCAACAGGUAAUCUGAUCUGGCAUAAGUAAAACGAGGGUUCACACAAAACCAUUCAUGGUGUGUUACCCCUAUAGGUAGAGAUGAAAAUGGAUUGGAUACGGACAGAUAUUGUCAAUAUUAUAUUUGGUUUUAUAUUUCGGAUCGAAUUCAGAUUUGAAUACGGAUAAUAAUGUCAAUUAUAUCGGAUAAGAUACGAUUGGAUGUGAACAUUAUAAAUGCAUGAUUUUAAUAUUCGGAUAUCGUAUGUUGAAUAUUUGAACUCGAAUAUGAACGGAUCUGAAUCUCGGUUUUAAAUACAAUCACAAAAAUAUGCAUAACAUUUUCAUCGCUAGCACACCCAUGCUUCGGCCGGCAAAACAAACAGGCAGAGCUUACAAGCAGCGUUGCAUUGCACGAGGUGGGCUAGACCAGGUUAUUGGGCCGUUAGAUGGGCACAAGCACCGUGUUUGCACGCGUGUCAGCUCCAUUGAGCAAGCCGGCCCCUGGCCGUUUUGUUUAUACGGGCCAAAUUCGACUUAGCUUUUAUUUUAUCAGCAAAGUUGACUACAGAUUUUAAAGUAUAUCUAGUAAAUAUUGCCUAAAUAAAAGUGCUUCAUUCCCUAUCCAAACAAACUUUACAUUCCAAGUUUUUUUCCUUCAGUUUUAAAGUUGUUUAAGCAUGAUUUAGGAUUUAUUUAGCUAGGAAUAUUUAAGUCUUUGGUUAUAACUUGUUACAUUGCGGCCUUAAAUUUUCAGUUAUUCUCUUAGUGUUUUUAAUAAGUUUUAUUAAUGCUUACACAAUGUUCAUAUAAGCCUUAAUUCUGUGGUCUUAUCGAAGUUCCUGGAUAAACUAUUUUAUUUUUCUAUAUUGGCACUUAAUUAUUGAUCAUUUUAUUAUUUUUCUGAGCUAAUUGCUUCUUUAAGCACUAUUCUCAGUAAGUGGUAUAUCCUUGGGUUAAUUUCCAUCAUACUUAUGAAUGGUUUCAGUUACACUAUUUAAAAGCCAAAAAUGGGUCAAGUAUGCUUACAAGAGGAGCACCACACCAUGGUCCUAGUGUUGCCGCUGCAGUUCUUCGUUGAGUUCUUCAUCACUAGAAGUGGCAAGUCCCAAUCCGAUGCCGACAAAAAUCUACUUCAUUUACAUCGACUCCUACAUCAAGUACA
rnacentral:lncRNA from 1 species